UGGUUCUGGCAUCGAUGAAGAACGCAGCGAAAUGCGAUAAGUAAUGCGAAUUGCAGAAUUCAGCGAGUCAUCGAAUCUUUGAACGCACAUUGCGCCCACUGGCAUUCUAGUGGGCAUGCCUGUCCGAGCGUCAUUUCCCCCCUCAGGCACCAUGCUGCCUGGCGUUGGGGCCUCUACGUCCCCCCGCGGCGUAGGCCCUCAAGACCAGUGGCGGGCUCGCCAGCACACCCGAGCGCAGUAGCACACACAACGCUCAGGGGGUCUGGCGGGCUGCCGGCCGUUAAAGCCCUUCUCAGGAAGACAACACAAAGGUUGACCUCGGAUCAGGUAGGAAUACCCGCUGA
rnacentral:misc_RNA from 1 species